rnacentral:snRNA from 1 species
UUACUUACCUGCGGUGUACCAUGAUCAAAGGUGGUUUUGCCGGUGCGGGCCUUUGUCCAUUGCACUCCGGGAUUUGCUGACUCGGUGAAUUCGCAACGUUCGAUCUCAGCUGCCGAUUUUGGUAGUUUGGGGGACUGCCGUUUCGGCGUCUCCCU